GACGAACGCUGGCGGCGUGCUUAACACAUGCAAGUCGAACGGAAAGGCCCUGCUUUUGUGGGGUGCUCGAGUGGCGAACGGGUGAGUAACACGUGAGUAACCUGCCCUUGACUUUGGUAUAACUUCAGGAAACUGGGGCUAAUACCGGAUAGGAGCUCCUGCUGCAUGGUGGGGGUUGGAAAUUUUCGGCGGUUGGGGAUGGACUCGCGGCUUAUCAGCUUGUUGGUGGGGUAGUGGCUUACCAAGGCUUUGACGGGUAGCCGGCCUGAGAGGGUGAACGGCGACAUUGGGACUGAGAUACGGCCCAGACUCCUACGGGAGGCAGCAGUGGGGAAUAUUGCACAAUGGGCGGAAGCCUGAUGCAGCAACGCCGCGUGCGGGAUGACGGCCUUCGGGUUGUAAACCGCUUUCGCCUGUGACGAAGCGUGAGUGACGGUAAUGGGUAAAGAAGCACCGGCUAACUACGUG
rnacentral:rRNA from 1 species